AUUGAACGCUGGCGGAAGGCCUAACACAUGCAAGUCGAGCGAGCGGCGGACGGGUGAGCAAUGUCUGUGAAACUGCCUGAUGGAGGGGGAUAACUACUGGAAACGGUAGCUAAUACCGCAUACCCUCGGAUGUGCCCAGAUGGGAUUAGCUAGUAGGUGGGGUAAAGGCUCACCUAGGCGACGAUCCCUAGCUGGUCUGAGAGGAUGACCAGCCACACUGGAACUGAGACACGGUCCAUACUCCGACGGGAGGCAGCAGUGGGGAAUAUUGCACAAUGGGCGCAAGCCUGAUGCAGCCAUGCCGCGUGUAGGAAGAAGGCCUUCGGGUUGUAAAGCACUUUCAGCGAGGAGGCGUUACUCGCAGAAGAAGCACCGGCUAACUCCGUGCCAGCAGCCGCGGUAAUAC
rnacentral:rRNA from 1 species